GGGCAUUUGGUCUAGUGGUAUGAUUCUCGCUUUGGGUGCGAGAGGUCCGUAGUUCGAUUCUCCGAAUGCCCC
rnacentral:tRNA from 1 species